UGUGAUUUGCUUUGGACCUGCCAUUGAUGUGCUCAUGCCGCUUCAUCAUUCCCAGAUUCUUGCCUAUCAAUUUAUCGGUGUCGUCCAAAAUCUGGAUGUCGUCGAUGCAUAUCUUUGCAACCAGUUCUGGUCUUACGAGCAGGACGAUAAUCUUUCCAUGGAGCUGUGGUGUCAUGAGUACAUGACGGCCUACCUGCAUGUUCAGGUCCGAAGACGUAUGUCUCAUUUGAAGCAGGUAGGAGGCACGUGCAUUGGCAUCUGGUGGACAGGAACAAAGUGUGAGACUGACGUAUGUGUGAGACUGGCACGCACGUGCAUUGUCCAUCUCACUAUUACAAACUUAUUUCAUAUAAAAAUAACCAUUUUCAGAAUAAUUACUAGUUUCUAUGGUUUAAUUGCCUUUCCAGGCUGAAAAAAUAAAUAAAUACCAAAUUGAAUGUUAUGAAACAUAGUGAGAGAUGUGUCCAUUUGUGAAGCACCUAUAUUGACACUUUUAGAUAACCUCAUGCUCUAUUUAUCUCAAGCAGCUAGGACCAAAUUAUGACUCCAUGCCAAGUUUCACUAUUUUCUAACAACAUUUGGUAUUUAUUUAUUUAUUUAUUUUCGGCUUGAAAAGACAUUUAAAGCAUAUAAAUUAGUAGAUAAUAAAAAAUGGCAUAUUUACAUGAAGUAAGUUUGUAACUAUUAGAUGACCUAAUAGUGCACUUUUGAAGCAAAGACAAUGACAAACGUAAGAAAUAUAGCUCAAGCACUGAUGUUAUAGUUGAAUGUUAUGAAACAUAGUGAGAGAUGUGUCCAUUUGUGAAGCACCUAUAUUGACACUUUUGCAUAACCUCAUGCUCUGUUUAUCUCAAGCAGCUAGGACCAAAUUAUGACUCCAUGCCAAGUUUCACUAUUUUCUGACAACAUUUGGUAUUUAUUUAUUUAUUUUCAGCUUGAAAAGGCAUUUAAAGCAUAUAAAUUAGUAGAUAAUAAAAAAUGGCAUAUUUACAUGAAGUAAGUUUGUAACUGUUAGAUGACCUAAUGGUGCACUUUUGAAGCAAAGACAAUGACAAACGUAAGAAAUAUAGCUCAAGCACUAAUGUUAUAGUUGCAUGUUAUGAAACAUAGUGAGAGAUGUGUCCAUUUGUGAAGCACCUAUAUUGACACUUUUGCAUAACCUCAUGCUCUAUUUAUCUAAGCAGCUAGGACCAAAUUAUGACUCCAUGCCAAGUUUCACUAUUUUCU
rnacentral:lncRNA from 1 species